rnacentral:rRNA from 1 species
AGUGAACGCUGGCGGCAGGCCUAACACAUGCAAGUCGAACGGCAGCACAGAGGAGCUUGCUCCUUGGGUGGCGAGUGGCGGACGGGUGAGGAAUGCAUCGGAAUCUGCCUAUUUGUGGGGGAUAACGUAGGGAAACUUACGCUAAUACCGCAUACGUCCUACGGGAGAAAGUGGGGGACCUUCGGGCCUCACGCAGAUAGAUGAGCCGAUGCCGGAUUAGCGAGUUGGCGGGGUAAAGGCCCACCAAGGCGACGAUCCGUAGCUGGUCUGAGAGGAUGAUCAGCCACACUGGAACUGAGACACGGUCCAGACUCCUACGGGAGGCAGCAGUGGGGAAUAUUGGACAAUGGGCGCAAGCCUGAUCCAGCCAUGCCGCGUGUGUGAAGAAGGCCUUCGGGUUGUAAAGCACUUUUGUCCGGAAAGAAAAGCGCUCGAUUAAUACUCGGGUGUUAUGACGGUACCGGAAGAAUAAGCACCGGCUAACUUCGUGCCAGCAGCCGCCGUAAUAC